rnacentral:tRNA from 1 species
GCCCCAGUGGUACAAUGGUUAAAGUACUUGGCUGCUAACCAAAAGGUUGGUGGUUUGAACCCACCCGGCAGCU